rnacentral:misc_RNA from 1 species
GAUGAAGAACGUAGCGAAAUGCGAUACUUGGUGUGAAUUGCAGAAUCCCGUGAAUCAUCGAGUCUUUGAACGCAAGUUGCGCCCGAAGCCUUUUGGCCGAGGGGACGUCUGCCUGGGUGUCACGCAACGUCGCCGCCAGCACACCCUUCCCUUAGGGGAUCGGGAUGUAGCUGGGGGCGGAUGAUGGCCUCCCGUGCGCCUUGUCGCGCGGUUGGCAUAAAUACCAAGUCCUCGGCGACGCACGCCACGACAAUCGGUGGUUGCGAAACCUCGGUUGCCUGUCGUGUGCGGUCGUCGCGCAUCGAGGGCUCGAAAAAAUUGUCGGGCUUCGGCUCGGCUUUCAACGCGACCCCAGGUCAGGCGGGGUUACCCGCUGAAUUUAAGCAUAUCAAUAAGCGGAGGA